rnacentral:rRNA from 1 species
GUACGGGGGGAGCAAGCGUUGUUCGGAUUUACUGGGCGUAAAGGGCGCGUAGGCGGUCAGCACAAGUCAGUUGUGAAAUCUCCGGGCUUAACUCGGAAAGGUCAACUGAUACUGUGCGACUAGAGUGCGGAAGGGGCAACUGGAAUUCUCGGUGUAGCGGUGAAAUGCGUAGAUAUCGAGAGGAACACCUGCGGCGAAGGCGGGUUGCUGGGCCGACACUGACGCUGAUGCGCGAAAGCCAGGGGAGCGAACGGG